CCUACGGGUGGCUGCAGUGGGGAAUAUUGGACAAUGGGGGCAACCCUGAUCCAGCCAUGCCGCGUGUGUGAAGAAGGCCUUCGGGUUGUAAAGCACUUUAAGUGGGGAGGAAGGCUCGCUGGUUAAUAGUCAGCGGGAGUGACGUUACCCACAGAAUAAGCACCGGCAAACUCCGUGCCAGCAGCCGCGGUAAUACGGAGGGUGCGAGCGUGAAUCGGAAUUACGUGGCGGAUAGCGCACGUAGGCGGUUAGAGCCCUGGGCUCAACCUGGGAGCUGCAUUCGAUACUGGCAGACUUGAAUACGGUAGAGGGGGGUGGAAUUCCAGGUGUAGCGGUGAAAUGCGUAGAGAUCUGGAGGAACACCAGUGGCGAAGGCGGCCCCCUGGACCGAUAUUGACGCUGAGGUGCGAAAGCGUGGGGAGCAAACAGGAUUAGAUACCCGAGUAGUC
rnacentral:rRNA from 1 species